rnacentral:rRNA from 1 species
UACGGAGGGAGCUAGCGUUAUUCGGAAUUACUGGGCGUAAAGGGCGCGUAGGCGGAUACUUAAGUUAGAGGUGAAAGCCCCAGGGCUCAACCCUGGAAUAGCCUUUAAUACUGGGUAUCUUGAGUUCGGGAGAGGUGAGUGGAAUGCCGAGUGUAGAGGUGAAAUUCGUAGAUAUUCGGCGGAACACCAGUGGCGAAGGCGACUCACUGGCCCGAUACUGACGCUGAGGUGCGAAAGCGUGGGGAGCAAACAGGG